rnacentral:rRNA from 1 species
AACGAACGCUGGCGGCGCGCCUAAUACAUGCAAGUCGAGCGAGAAGACGUAGCAAUACGUUUGUAAAGCGGCGAACGGGUGAGGAAUACAUGGGUAACCUACCCUCGAGUGGGGAAUAACUAGCCGAAAGGUUAGCUAAUACCGCGUACGCUCCUUGGACUUCGGUUCAGGGAGGAAAGCGAUACCGUGGGUAUCGCGCUCUUGGAUGGGCUCAU